rnacentral:rRNA from 1 species
GACGAACGCUGGCGGCGCGCUUAACAUAUGCAAGUCGAACGGAAAGGCCUGCUUUCCCUUGUGGAUUGCGGGUACUCGAGUGGCGAACGGGUGAGUAACACGUGAGUGAUCUGCCCCCAACUUGGGUAUAAGCCUGGGAAACUGGGUCUAAUUCCCGAUAGGACUGCAGGGUGGUGCCUGUGGUGGAAAACGAUUUUCUAGUGGUUGGGGAUGAGCUCGCGGCCUAUCAGCUUGUUGGUGGGGUAAUGGCCUACCAAGGCGGCGACGGGUAGCCGGCCUGAGAGGGUGGACGGCCACAUUGGGACUGAGAUACGGCCCAGACUCCUACGGGAGGCAGCAGUGGGGAAUAUUGCACAAUGGGCGGAAGCCUGAUGCAGCGACGCCGCGUGGGGGAUGACGGCCUUCGGGUUGUAAACUCCUUUCGACCGCGAGGAAGCCACCUGGUUGGAAGGGUGGUGACGGUAGUGGUAGAAGAAGCACCGGCUAACUACGUG